rnacentral:lncRNA from 12 species
CAUCUGUGCUCCAGGCUGCGGGGUACCCCGCGUGCUCUUCCAGCCAAACCACACGAGCACAUCCGGCCCCCUGCUUGGAUGCGGCAUGCUGCGUACUUGCACAGGGCCCGCCGGCCGAAGCAAAGCCACGGUCACGCCCGGAACCGGCGGGGCUGGAGAUGUCCUCUUCCCCCAGAGGGGUGAAGGAAGGCUUCCCAUCCCCGGAACGGCCGCGUGGAAGCCCAACUCUGUGCCUCGUGGGAGCCUCGAUGUGCCUUCCCUGGAGCAUCCUCCUGCCCCCUGAGGGG